AUCACUUCUUUGCCUUUUGGCAAAGAUCAAGUGUAGUAUCAUAGCACUAGCUCACAAAGUUCUCUGCCUAGAUUUAAAGGAUAAACUAGCUGAUAGUAGGUAUUCAAUUAAUACUGAGUUCAUUUAAUGAUUAGGUCAUUGGGAAAGUCAUGAUGUAUUUUUCUGUGCAAAAAUGCGUCAUGACUUUCCUGACAACCCAA
rfam:Tupaia chinensis contig108277, whole genome shotgun sequence.